rnacentral:rRNA from 1 species
AGAGUUUGAUCAUGGCUCAGAAUCAACGCUGGCGGCGUGCCUAACACAUGCAAGUCGAACGCGAAAGCCCCGCAAGGGGCAAGUAGAGUGGCAAACGGGUGAGUAACACGUGGGUGACCUGCCUUCGAGUGGGGGAUAACGUCCCGAAAGGGACGCUAAUACCGCAUGACAUCCCGCCUUUGAACAGGCGGAGAUCAAAGCUGGGGAUCGCAAGACCUGGCGCUCAAAGAGGGGCCCGCGCCUGAUUAGCUAGUUGGUGGGGUAAUGGCUCACCAAGGCAUCGAUCAGUAUCCGGCCUGAGAGGGCGGACGGACACACUGGGACUGAGACACGGCCCAGACUCCUACGGGAGGCAGCAGUGGGGAAUUGUUCGCAAUGGGCGCAAGCCUGACGACGCAACGCCGCGUGGAGGAUGAAGACCUUCGGGUCGUAAACUCCUUUCGAUCGAGACGAAUGGCUUCCGGGUGAAUAGCCCGGAGGAAUGACGGUACCGAGAGAAGAAGCCCCGGCUAACUCCGUGCCAGCAGCCGCGGUA